rnacentral:rRNA from 1 species
UACAGAGGGGGCAAGCGUUAUUCGGAAUUAUUGGGCGUAAAGGGCGCGUAGGCGGCUUUGCAAGUGACGGGUGAAAUCCCUCGGCUUAACCGAGGAACUGCCUGUCAGACUGUGAGGCUUGAGACCGGGAGAGGUGAGUGGAAUUCCCAGUGUAGCGGUGAAAUGCGUAGAUAUUGGGAAGAACACCUGAGGCGAAGGCGGGUUGCUGGGCCGACACUGACGCUGAGGCGCGAAAGCUAGGGGAGCAAACGGG